AUUGACCGCUGGAAGCAGGCAUAAAACAUGCAAGUCGAACGAGUGGUGGACGGGUGAGUAAGCUCUGGGAAACUGCCCGAUGGAGGGGGAGAACUACUGGAAACGGUAGCUAAUACCGCAUACUAUCGGAUGUGCCCCGAUGGGAGUAGCUAGUAGGUGGGGUAAUGGCGCACCUAGGCGACGAUCCCUAGCUGGUCUGAGAGGAUGACCAGCCACACUGGAACUGAGACACGGUCCAGACUCCUACGGGAGGCAGCAGUGGGGAAUAUUGCACAAUGGGCGCAAGCCUGAUGCAGCCAUGCCGCGUGUAUGAAGAAGGCCUUCGGGUGGUAAAGUACUUGCAGCGAGGAGGCGUUACUCGCAGAAGAAGCACCGGCUAACUCCGUGCCAGCCGCCGCGGUAAUAC
rnacentral:rRNA from 1 species